GUCAAGAUCGUGUAGCUUCCCA
rnacentral:siRNA from 1 species